rnacentral:rRNA from 1 species
GACGUAGGGCGCGAGCGUUGUCCGGAUUUAUUGGGCGUAAAGAGCUCGUAGGCGGCUUGUUGCGUCGUCCGUGAAAACCUGCAGCUUAACUGUGGGCGUGCGGUCGAUACGGGCAUCACUGGAGUUCGGCAGGGGAGACUGGAAUUCCUGGUGUAGCGGUGAAAUGCGCAGAUAUCAGGAGGAACACCGGUGGCGAAGGCGGGUCUCUGGGCCGAUACUGACGCUGAGGAGCGAAAGCGUGGGGAGCAAACAGG